rnacentral:rRNA from 1 species
AGUGAACGCUGGCGGUAGGCCUAACACAUGCCAGUCGAACGGCAGCACAGUAAGAGCUUGCUAUUACGGGUGGCGGGUGGCGGACGGGUGAGGAAUACAGCGGAAUCUACUUUUUCGUGGGGGAUAACGUAGGGAAACUUACGCUAAUACCGCAUACGACCUACGGGUGAAAGCAGGGGAUCUUCGUACCUUGCGCGAUUGAAUGAGCCGAUGUCGGAUUAGCUAGUUGGCGGGGUAAAGGCCCACCAAGGCGACGAUCCGUAGCUGGUCUGAGAGGAUGAUCAGCCACACUGGAACUGAGACACGGUCCAGACUCCUACGGGAGGCAGCAGUGGGGAAUAUUGGACAAUGGGCGCAAGCCUGAUCCAGCCAUACCGCGUGGGUGAAGAAGGCCUUCGGGUUGUAAAGCCCUUUUGUUGGGAAAGAAAAGCAGCAGGUUAAUACCCCGCUGUUCUGACGGUACCCAAAGAAUAAGCACCGGCUAACUUCGUG